rnacentral:rRNA from 1 species
GACGAACGCUGGCGGCGUGCUUAACACAUGCAAGUCGAACGGAAAGGCCCUGCUUUUGUGGGGUGCUCGAGUGGCGAACGCGUGAGUAACACGUGAGUAACCUGCCCUAGACUUUGGGAUAACUUCAGGAAACUGGGGUUAAUAUCGGAUAGGAGCUCCUGCUGCAUGGUGGGGGUUGGAAAGUCUCGGCGGUUGGGGAUGGACUCGCGGCUUAUCAGCUUGCUGGUGGGGGAGUGGCUUACCCAGGAUUUGACGGGUAGCCGGCCUGAGAGGGUGACCGGCCACAAUGGGACUGAGAGACGGCCCAGACUCCUACGGGGGGCAGCAGUGGGAAAUAUUGCACAGUGGGCCGGAGCCUGAUGCAGCGACGCCGCGGUCGUGAUGACGGCCUUCGGGUUGUAAACCGCUUUCGCCUGUGACGAAGCGGGAGUGACGGUAAUGGGUAAAGAAGCACCGGCUAACUACGUG